GUACAGUGAAAAUACUUGAGCUAAGCAAUAAGCCUCAAGAACCUAGAACUGAGUUACGAGGCACAGCCCCUCCUUCUGAAGUCCUCUCUGCUGUGGACAUCAGCCUGGGUGCUUUUCAGGAAAAACCUGCAUUUCCAAGACAGAAAAGGAAGAGAAGACAAGAGAAAAAAAGCUCAUCUAGAUAACCCAAACAAGGAGAGCCCCAUCUGUGCUGGUCACCAGAAGAGAAGACCCCGGUUGAGAAGACUGGUCAGAUCUCUCUUCAGCCGCUGUCUUCUAUCAGGCCAAAACAGCGGACAGACAAGAAGGGAACCAGAGGACAACCUGUUCUUCCCUACCUUCCUUCUGCCAUCUUCAGGCCUUUGACAUGUAUGCGCAUGCACUGCACACGGGUCUGAUGGGGCUUGUACAGAUGUGUCCUAGAAUAAAUUAUUUACCCCAA